rnacentral:rRNA from 1 species
GAUGAACGCUAGCUACAGGCUUAACACAUGCAAGUCGAGGGGAAACGGCAUCGAAAGCUUGCUUUUGAUGGGCGUCGACCGGCGCACGGGUGAGUAACGCGUAUCCAACCUGCCCAUCACUUGGGAAUAACCUUGCGAAAGUAAGACUAAUGCCCAAUGACAUCCCACGAAGGCAUCCGAAUGGGAUUAAAGAUUUAUCGGUGAUGGAUGGGGAUGCGUCUGAUUAGCUUGUUGGCGGGGUGACGGCCCACCAAGGCAACGAUCAGUAGGGGUUCUGAGAGGAAGGUCCCCCACAUUGGAACUGAGACACGGUCCAAACUCCUACGGGAGGCAGCAGUGAGGAAUAUUGGUCAAUGGGCGAGAGCCUGAACCAGCCAAGUAGCGUGCAGGAUGACGGCCCUAUGGGUUGUAAACUGCUUUUAUAAGGGAAUGAAGUGGGUCACGUGUGACUUUUUGCAUGUACCUUAUGAAUAAGGACCGGCUAAUUCCGUG